GGAACAGCCGGCGGCACCGGGAGCGGGGAAAGGGGACGGCAUCGCCGCCGGGAACGGGAGCGGGGAAAGGGAACGGGCGAUGGGACCAGGCACGGCACCAGGAAGGGGAACAGGCACCCGGCACGGGAAUGGCAUUGGCACCGGGCAUGGGAACGGGCAGCGGGAAGGGAACGAGUUGCUCCCCAGGAAUGCCGGAGCACCAGCCCGGCUGUGCCGCGCCCUGACGUGCUUCCCACAUGCAGGGUGUGGGCAGGAGAGGUGGCACCUGCACUGCCUGGUGACAAGUGACAGCCAAGAUCAUCCCUGGGACAGUGCAGCAACAGGGGACACAACCCGCAGAAGCCCACGCUGGCCCGGGACCCCCAUCCUGUGGGGCUUGGGGAUGCCCCGGGAUGUCCCCAAGGUGCUGCUGUGUCCACAGGGGGACAUACAGGAAAAUCCCACACCACAGGAGGUGACAAGGACUCCGUGCCACCUCAGCGGGCUUGGAGACAUCUCUCCCCACUGGAGCCGGAUGGUGUUUUUCUAUCUUUUUAUUAUAAAAACUCUUUUAUUUUUUUGGCAUUCUCACA